rnacentral:rRNA from 1 species
AUUGAACGCUGGCGGUAUGCUUUACACAUGCAAGUCGAACGGUAACAGGUCUUCGGAUGCUGACGAGUGGCGAACGGGUGAGUAAUGUAUCGGAAUGUGCCUAGUAAUGGGGGAUAACCACUCGAAAGAGUGACUAAUACCGCAUAAUAUCUCAGGAUGAAAGCGGGGGAUCGCAAGACCUCGCGUUAUUAGAGCGGCCGAUAUCAGAUUAGGUAGUUGGUGGGAUAAAAGCCUACCAAGCCAACGAUCUGUAGCUGGUCUGAGAGGAUGAUCAGCCACACUGGGACUGAGACACGGCCCAGACUCCUACGGGAGGCAGCAGUGGGGAAUAUUGGACAAUGGGCGAAAGCCUGAUCCAGCAAUGCCGCGUGAGUGAUGAAGGCCUUAGGGUUGUAAAAGCUCUUUUACCAGGGAUGAUAAAUGACAGUACCUGGAGAAUAAGCUCCGGCUAACUAACGUGCCAGCAGCCGCGGUAAAACG